UACGUAGGUGGCAAGCGUUGUCCGGAUUUACUGGGCGUAAAGAGCGCGCAGGCGGUCGUGCAAGUCGCGUGUGAAAGCCCCCGGCUCAACUGGGGAGGGUCACGCGAUACUGCUCGACUUGAAGGCAGGAGAGGGAAGUGGAAUUCCCGGUGUAGUGGUGAAAUGCGUAGAUAUCGGGGAGGAACACCAGUGGCGAAGGCGGUUCUCUGGGCAUGUCCUGACGCUGAGGAGCGAAAGUGUGGGGAGCGAACAGG
rnacentral:rRNA from 1 species